AGAUUGAACGCUGGCGGCAUGCCUUACACAUGCAAGUCGAACGGCAGCACGGGGGCAACCCUGGUGGCGAGUGGCGAACGGGUGAGUAACAUAUCGGAACGUGCCCUGGAGUGGGGGAUAACUAGUCGAAAGACUAGCUAAUACCGCAUACGAUCUACGGAUGAAA
rnacentral:rRNA from 1 species